AUUGAACGCUGGCGGCAGGCCUAACACAUGCAAGUCGAGCGAGCGGCGGACGGGUGAGUAAUGUCUGGGAAACUGCCUGAUGGAGGGGGAUAACUACUGGAAACGGUAGCUAAUACCGCAUAACAUCAGAUGUGCCCAGAUGGGAUUGGCUAGUAGGUGGGGUAACGGCUCACCUAGGCGACGAUCCCUAGCUGGUCUGAGAGGAUGACCAGCCACAUUGGAACUGAGACACGGUCCAGACUCCUACGGGAGGCAGCAGUGGGGAAUCUUGCACAAGGGGCGAAAGUCUGAUACAGCCAUGCCGCGUGUGUGAAGAAGGCCUUCGGGUUGUAAAGCACUUUCAGCGGGGAGGCGUUACCCGCAGAAGAAGCACCGGCUAACUCCGUGCCAGCAGCCGCGGUAAUUC
rnacentral:rRNA from 1 species